rnacentral:tRNA from 1 species
UCUAAGGAUGAUCUUAGUCAGAUAAGCUUGCUUAUCUCGUAGAUCACUUAGCAGAAGCAGCAAACAAAGCUGCACAACAGGUUACUCGUAACCUGCCGGACCAGGCUGUCCCCACAUCUCUUCAGAAACAUCAGACCUACCGGUCUGGACUGGGUCGGUAGCUCAGGUGGUUAGAGCGCACGCCUGAUAAGCGUGAGGUCGGAGGUUCAAGUCCUCCUCGACCCACCAUUAUAAAGCGCGUUUGGCGUAGAUUGCGGUAUCGCGGAUCAAUAUUUUGGGGCCUUACUCGACUGGAGAGCGCUGAUUUGCAUUCAGGAGGUCAGGAGUUCGAUCCUCCUAGGCUCCACCAAACAUCUGAAUAUGUUCAGUGUUCCUUAGAUCAAUCUGAUCGCUAAGCAGCCAUUGCUGUUUAGCCGUCCGAUUGGACGUUUUGUCCUUCGGGGCAAAUUGACAUCGUAAAGAGAGAUACAAUUAACAAUCUGUUUGGUUCUUGUAAGUAAGCAAGAGACCUCAGUUUGGUUCUAGUUCGCUAGAAGGCAUUUGGACCUGACCUUUUCCUCGGUCACCCAGAUGUAUCCCGGGCUGAAACGAACAGAAUUGUCCAAGUCAAGUACACUAACUAAUUACUCUUUCGAGAGUAAUGGGAAAGUAAAUUUAUGACUUUUGAUCGGAAGAAGAGAUUUGCAUGUGAACCAGCGUGUGGAUCGGCGGACUGAUUUAGGCCUCAGGUAGCGAAAGCGGUAGGCCAAAUAAAGCAGUCUGACUUUUUCU